ACACACAAUAUUAUUGUUUCUGCAUCUGUUAUCAUACUUCUUCAACUACAAAUGUCAGCGAAGUCCACUACAAAAGAAAUGUUCAGAGAUAAGUAAUCCAGCUUCUUAAAUAUCAAAAACUUCCUUUCUCUUCUUCUUUUACAGCAAAUCCAACUUUGUUUAAUUCAUUUUGUUCUUCUUCUUUUUCCAUCUUCAUUCUCACAGAAUACAAAAUCACAGAUCCGUUACAUUUAACUUCGUCGCCUCAAAGAUAAGUCAUUCUUCCUUAAUUAACCUCUCUUUCCAACAUCAAUAUGCACAUUUAAAUUCUGCUAAUUUCAAUAUAUCACACAAUAUAUUUCUACUUUUCUAAAUUGUUAGUUUUCUAAAUUUUCUAAAUUAAUAGACUUAAUUCUUUUUCAUGAGUGUUUUCGAAGAGUUAAACACGAGCAACAGAGAGACAAAAACAGAGAGAAACAAAGAGAGAGACAGUGUAAAAAGCAGAUAAAGAAGAUGCACAGUUUUUUUCUUUAACUAGAAAAACUUCCACAGAGAUUAAGGAACGUGAAUCUAGAAAGUGGCAGUACUCCAGAACUUUUGCCUUUUAAAUUUCCCUCUUUCGACCACAUAUGAGCCUCAUGUAUUCAUCUAAAAUUGAAAUCGGAUUAUAUACUUCUCUUUUCUAGCUACUCAAAAUUAGAAAUCCAUAAGCACUUACAGUAUUACCAUUACAGUUUUGGGUGCUAAACAAUUGCUUUCAUAUUACAAAAUAUACUAACCUCUGUACAUAUAACCUGUAUCCAAAAUUUGAAAUAUUACAGUUUUCCUUUUAUCUCAUACUGCAUAUUAUUUUUGUUUCAUAACCCUUACUCCAGUCAAUUGACAGCUUACCUAUUAUUUAAUAUUUAAUCUUUACAGGUCCUAUUAUAUCCUACAGAUAAGAACUUACCCAUCCACGUCAGCCAUCAAUAUUCACUGGCUACCUUGGAUGGAUAGAUUCUUGGCUCUAGCAGAUACUACAAUUUAUGACAAAUUCUCACCUCUACGAGCUACUACAAUUGAUGAGAACCAUAAAAAAAUUAAAUUGCAUCAAUAAACAAAUGAUGAAAUUAGGAAGCAAGUUAGUGGUAGUGGAGAUGAGAAGACGAAAUUAUAGAAUGCGAUAGAGGUGAUCCUUGAUCCACAAUUACCUCCGUCCCAUUCUGUAAUUUCUUCUUCUCAUCUCCACCACCAUUAAUUUGCUCCCUCAUUUCAUCAGUUCCUUACUGAUGUAAUUUACUUUUUUUAUUCUUCUCAUCAAUAGUCCUAUCUCCUACUGUGGAGAACCAAUCCAUCCAAGCCAGCCAGUAAACUUUAGCUAGAGUUAUAAUUAAUUCUACCAAAAUUUUACUGGCUACGUUUGGAUGAAUUGCUUCUCGACAGUAGCAGAUAGAACUAUUGAUUUUCACGAACAACUACUCUAAUUGAGUGUCCAUUCUGUGAUCCAUUUCUAAAUACAGAAGGUACAUGAUUUUUUCAACUUAAUCCACAAACUAAAUUUUAAGUAUCCUCUAUUUAAAUCAAUAAUAUCUAUUUAUUGACAAUUCUUAGUUCACGGUUCAGUAUCUUCUGUAAUAUUCGGGAAGCCUCCAUUAGCAUCAAGAAUCACUGUUAUCUAACCCAAAAGUCAGUAAUCAAAAUCACCAACUGCUACACCCUUCUUUCGCGAUCAUUUUUGUUUUAGUCUGACGGUGGUGUUUUUUAGAAUACAAAGCAAUUACAAGUUUGUAGAAGAACCAGAGUCCAGAGUUUGUUCUCAUCAUCAUCAACUUCGAUCCGCUCUGAUUCAAUAGAAGAAGAAGUCGAAGCAGCUUUAUAUGAUAGUGGAGUCUGCGAGAUUCAGAUCGGUGGAGAGAAGAGCAUUUCAUAUCAAAGGAUAUUCAACAAACGAAGCAAUCAAAUUAGGCGACAAGUUCAUACUGACGGCAAUGAGGAAAAUAAAUUACAAAAUGGGAUGAAUGUAAUUGUUCAUCUAAAUGAACAUAGCUUGGAGGAACAUAGGGUGUUUCAACCCAUGCUUGAAAACAAGCUGCUGAAAUGUCGAAAUAUUGCACAUUCCAUUGAAACACCCUAUCUUCCUCCAAGUUAUCAUCAUUUAGAUCAACAAUUACCUCCCUCGCAUUCUCUAAUUUCUUUUCCUCAUUACCGCCACCAAUCACUUGCUCCCUAAUCAUACUACCAUUUAUGUACAUAAUAAAGCCACUAAAAUCUAUAAAUGUCUUAAAAUACUCUAGAAUGGUUUUCUCCAUUGUCCGCAGAGAAAAGAAGAGUCCGAAUUGGACCUAGGCUUUUCAGCGACCAAUGGCUCAUUUUGAGUUUGGAAUCAGUUGGCUACCAUUUGAUACAACACAACAAUUCCUCUGCAAUACAUUCAUACAGAAUUCAGCAAAAGGAAGCUGCUCUUCUAUAUAUUACCAAAUUAAAGACACACAGAUAUCAGUUGUCAUUGCCACAUGGAUCCAAUUUAAUCCAGUAAUUCUCUCCCCUUGCCGCUUCUCGCCUCCAUUCUUACAUGUUUUUGAUUAUCUUUGAAUUACGUACUUUCGGUAUCCAUGUUUUAGGAAUGUUCCAAUUUGCCAUUCCAAUGGUUCAUUGAGAGAGGUUGAAGUAUCAAUUUCUGUCUACUCCAACAAUGAUGUUUUACUGCAUGUUCAGUCUCAAACUGAGAAAAGGUGUUGAUAAUUUCAUCAAAGGUUGCUUGAAUAGUAUCAUCCACACCACCAUCAGAGCUGCCAAUUAAAGGUGUUGACAUAUUUUCUUCUCGACGUCUUACUGCUACAACACAGUACCAUUGCACAAAUUACCCAACUUACUCAUGCUGAUGCCAAUUCCUACAUCAUUGCGUCUUACUGCUACAACAGAAUACCAUUGCACAAAUUACCCAACUUACUCAUGCUGAUGUAAAAAAUUCAUUACAUCAGGACCAAAUUCCAAGACAGCCAACACUCAAAAAACAAAAAACACCAACAUUCCGUGUUGUUCACCUAAGUAACCUCUAUCUGCCUUCUUCCUAUUCAUGACUUUCAACAGACGAAGCAAUCAAAUUAGGCAACAAGUUAAUGGUGGCGGGAAUGAGGAAGAGAAAUUAGAAAAUGGGAUGGACGUAAUUGUUAAUCUCAAUGAAGAUGGCUUGGAGGAACAUAGGGU